GUCACUGGUUGUUAGGACCCAAAAGAAACACAGACUAGGAAGCUUGGUAGCAAGGCUUUGAGGAGGGUCUGGCCGAGGAGGCUGGUCACAGGGAAGGUGGGAAGCAGGACAGGGUGUGAGGCACCCCCACUCCCGGACACACCCCCGUGUGGCCACUGAGCUUGCCUUCCCUGCUUGCAGGUUGAAGAAGCCACAGCGGAGGAGGUAUGGCCUUCUGGCCGACACCGACGACCCUACGGAGAUGGUAUCGCUGGACAGCGAUGAGGAGAUCGUCUUUGAGACACGGACUCUGAGAUGAUGCUCAGGUCAGGAAGGCGGCGUUUCCAGAAGCCCCGGGAAGAGGACAAGAGACAGAACCCACUCCCAUGGACCGAUCGGGAUCCGGCAGCCCCGUGGGCCCAUCCACCUCCCAGUGCACUCCACUGGUCCCCCUUCCGGCUUUGACUUUGAGAGCUCCCAUGGGUCCUGCCUCGCUUGCUCCUCAGCCCGACGCCGCCUCGGCCCUUGACCCAGACAGGACUGUGCAGGAUGCUGGGCAGAAACCAGAGGCCCCGGGAGCCUCCCGCAGGCCUCGGCGAAGGGCGGGACUGGCACCCCCGCACUCAGCCUGCUCUGUGGGGAUGAGGCGGCUGAGCUAAAGCCUGGUGGGUGGCGGGGCGGGCUGAGGGACCUGUCUGGGCUGGGGACAAUAAAGGCAGCCGUGGAGGUGUG